rnacentral:tRNA from 1 species
GGUGGGAUGCCCGAGCGGACAAAGGGAGCAGACUGUAAAUCUGCCGGCACAGCCUUCGGAGGUUCAAAUCCUCCUCCCACCA